rnacentral:rRNA from 1 species
GAUGAACGCUGGCGGCGUGCCUAAUACAUGCAAGUCGAGCGAACGGACGAGAAUCUUGCUUCUCUGAUGUUAGCGGCGGACGGGUGAGUAACACGUGGAUAACCUACCUAUAAGACUGGGAUAACUUCGGGAAACCGGAGCUAAUACCGGAUAAUAUUUUGAACCGCAUUGUGCAAAAGUGAAAGACGGUCUUUCUGUCACUUAUAGAUGGAUCCGCGCUGCAUUAGCUAGUUGGUACGGUAACGGCUUACCAAGGCAACGAUGCAUAGCCGCCCUGAGAGCGUGAUCCGCCACCCUGGAACUGAGACACGGUCCCGACUCCUACGGGAGGCCGCAGCAGGGAAUCUUACGCAAUGGGCGAAAGCCUGACGGAGCACCGCCGCGUGAGUGAUGAAGGUCCUCGGAUCGUAAAACUCUGUUAUUAGGGAAGAACAUAUGUGUAAGUAACUGUGCACAUCUUGACGGUACCUAAUCAGAAAGCCACGGCUAACUACGUG